GCCUUUAUUUUUGUAAAUUAAACACUGUCAUUCAAAUAACUUCAUCCUCCACUGAUUGACUGACACUUUCAUUAGGAUAGAUGGAGCUGGCCACAGCAAUUGCAAGACACUCCCUGCUGCUGCCCAGUUACAAACAUUUUUUAGCACGUUUUGUCGAGGUUGUUUGUACAUCCCACUGUAUAUGACUGCAAUAUGGAGGCUUCUUCAAAACAAUAAAAAUGUGUUUAUUUCCCUUCACAAUGUAAAGGGGCUGAAUGGGCAAUUCAAGGACAAAGAUGAAUAUUUCUUUGAAAAACUUUAUCAAGUGUAUAUUAUUUUGCAGAAAGCUUCAUUUUUGUCUCUGCCAGAUACAGUCAAACGUCCUUGCUCCUAGCACAUUAUCCAGUAUAUACCAUGAGGUCUUAUCUUGCCAUUUUCCAUAGUGUUGCGGGAAGCUUUAUGGCUGUUGCCACUAGAAAAGAUUAGUCACAGCAGAGGUGUUGCAGUGGCACUGAGCUGCUGGCAUCACUAGGGAGAUCCACAAUGUAAUGCCUAUUAGCACUGUGCAGUUAAUUUGAUCUUCUCUUUACUCCAUGAAUUAAAGUUUAGAAAUAUUGUUUGCUUGAAAUUUUUUGCAUAUGAAAACCCUCAAGUCUCAAAUUCACGUUACCGACUUAUCCUUGCUGCUUCCAUGCAUGUUUAUUAAUGCACAGUAAACUAUUUAAGCUGGACCAAUAUUUAAAUUUGUAAAUGAGAUAUUUGUUUUUUUCUCCAUAUUUUUUAAAUGAUUUGCAUGAGUGAGUACAGAUUUAUAAUCCAAUGAAUAUCUUCCCCAACAUAUGCAUAAAGGCGGGAAAUUUAAUUGAAGAAUUCCUAUCAAAAAAUAUUUCUUUCUGUGUAUGCUUAGUCUCAUUUCUGCACUCCAACUGCAGUCACCAAAAAUCACUUCAUGUUGAUGCCCACCCUAAAGGAUUUCGGCUAUCAAAUAAAGCUAAACUAGGUACUUGUGAAUGAACAAAUGCACAUUUCAGAUACAUACAUAAUAGACAUGGCAAAUAAUAAAAUGAUAAAAUAUUGUGCUAAAAUGUUUGCGGUGGGGCUGCCAAAGCGGAACAUCAGAUUAUGGGUUUUUGUUCUCUCAAGUGUUAAUAAUGACAGGAAGUAGAUGCACUACUUUAACUGGCCUAUGUGGCCCAAGCUAGCUAAUGUAAAAAAAAAGAAAAAACAUCGGCAUUAAACAUUGUUUUAAAGUUCUCAAGACCAAAAGUCUACAUCGGUGGGGAGAAUAUAUGCUGCAGCUCCUGAGGGAACAGGUGUCUGUUGGGUGCAACAAGUGAAACAAAUCAGUCAAGUUCCGAGGCAGAGAUGCUAACACUUCAGCGGCUAGCGUUGGUCAGGUGCAGCAACCGCACCUCCUCCUCACCUCACCUCCAGGCCGUUUCUCUCCCCGGGACUGUUGAACACCACAGCCUCCAUCCUACUGACGCCAGACCAGGUCUAUUUACAACAAGCCCGUUUAAAAGAAAAGUUAAAAAGGCACUUGAAGUGAGUGCAUUAUAUUGGGAGAAAGACUAGCUGGAGUAACGUUACAGCCCCGAGGAACGUUUUGACACAGAACAUCAGGGAGCCGUACUUCUCAGAGGGAAGGGCCCAAUAAGUGCAGCUGACCUUUGAGACACAUGUUGGAUGUUAUCCUGAAACACUUCAAUAUUGACACCCACCAGCACUCAUCUUUUUUAAUAGUGCUGUGUUUGCACUGAUGGAGCACUCAUCUGUGUGUCAGGAGAUGGUCAGAGAUCUGCUGCUGGACCUCCCUUUACUCUCCAGCCCAAUAAUCCUGCUCUGUAUGAAUAAGGAGCUGAGGAACCAGUGUCUGCUAUUGCUGAAGCGCAUCCCCUCCAACAACUACAUGAAUAAAAAAUCUCUCAGCAAGACAGAGGAGCAGAACAAGAACCUGACUACUGUUGAAACUGACACAAUUCACCUCUAAUUCACAAGAUUAUGAUUAUAAGUUUAUUGAGUCAAAUGUUUCAUGAUAAUGCUUAGACUGUUUGUUUACGUGUGCAACCUGAAAGAACUGCAGUGUAUUCUUCGGACAUGAACUGGAGCUGAUUAAAAAAAGAUUGCGAUUUUGUUGUUUGCAAUUAUCUUGACUUCCAAUUUGUCAUUGAGGUGAAUAAAUGUUUAAGAAGAAAACACAAGCAAGCAGCAAAUAAAUAUAUCAAAGAACACG